AACGAACGCUGGCGGCAUGCCUAACACAUGCAAGUCGAACGAGACCUUCGGGUCUAGUGGCGCACGGGUGCGUAACGCGUGGGAACCUGCCCUUAGGUUCGGAAUAACUCCCCGAAAGGGGUGCUAAUACCGGAUAAUGUCUUCGGACCAAAGAUUUAUCGCCUUUGGAUGGGCCCGCGUUGGAUUAGCUGGUUGGCAGGGUAAAAGCCUACCAAGGCGACGAUCCAUAGCUGGUCUGAGAGGAUGAUCAGCCACACUGGGACUGAGACACGGCCCAGACUCCUACGGGAGGCAGCAGUGGGGAAUAUUGGACAAUGGGCGAAAGCCUGAUCCAGCAAUGCCGCGUGAGUGAUGAAGGCCUUAGGGUUGUAAAGCUCUUUUACCCGGGAUGAUAAUGACAGUACCGGGAGAAUAAGCUCCGGCUAACUCCGUG
rnacentral:rRNA from 1 species